rnacentral:rRNA from 1 species
AGAGUUUGAUCAUGGCUCAGGACGAACGCUGGCGGCGUGCUUAACACAUGCAAGUCGAACGAUGAAGCCCAGCUUGCUGGGUGGAUUAGUGGCGAACGGGUGAGUAACACGUGAGUAACCUGCCCUUGACUCUGGGAUAAGCGCUGGAAACGGCGUCUAAUACCGGAUACGACCUGCCCCGGCAUCGGGUGUGGGUGGAAAGUUUUUCGGUCAAGGAUGGACUCGCGGCCUAUCAGCUUGUUGGUGAGGUAAUGGCUCACCAAGGCGACGACGGGUAGCCGGCCUGAGGGGGUGACCGGCCACACUGGGACUGAGACACGGCCCAGACUCCUACGGGAGGCAGCAGUGGGGAAUAUUGCACAAUGGGCGAAAGCCUGAUGCAGCAACGCCGCGUGGGGGAUGACGGCCUUCGGGUUGUAAACCUCUUUUAGUAGGGAAGAAGGACUUCGGUUUGACGGUACCUGCAGAAAAAGCACCGGCUAACUACGUGCCAGCAGCCGCGGUAAUACGUAGGGUGCAAGCGUUGUCCGGAAUUAUUGAGCGUAAAGAGCUCGUAGGCGGUUUGUCGCGUCUGCUGUGAAAACCCGAGGCUCAACCUCGGGCCUGCAGUGCGUACGGGCAGACUAGAGUGCGGUAGGGGAGAAUGGAAUUCCUGGUGUAGCGGUGGAAUGCGCAGAUAUCAUGAGGAACACCGAUGGCG